rnacentral:rRNA from 1 species
UACGUAGGGGGCAAGCGUUAUCCGGAUUCACUGGGUGUAAAGGGAGCGUAGACGGCGACGCAAGUCUGGAGUGAAAGCCCGGGGCCCAACCCCGGGACUGCUCUGGAAACUGCGUCGCUGGAGUACGGGAGGGGCAGGCGGAAUUCCUGGUGUAGCGGUGAAAUGCGUAGAUAUCAGGAGGAACACCGGUGGCGAAGGCGGCCUGCUGGACUGCAACUGACGUUGAGGCCCGAAAGCGUGGGGAGCAAACAGG